AGGCAGCCACAGAAGUGUGUGCAGCAGAACCGGCCCAUUUCCUCAGCCUUGAAUGUGCAUUUGAAUUCUCUGGGACAUGGGAAGGGCCCAAGAUACCACAUUUCUAAGGGGCCCAAGAUGUGAUGGCCUGAGACAGCAAGGGCCUUGAUGUGCUGUUCAGUCAGUAGCGACCAGGACCAGUGUCUUAGAGUACUUGAGAAUGUGGCUCGUGUGAAUUGAGAUAUAUUUUAAGUGUAAAACGCCCACCUGAUUUGAAAGAUGUGGUACAAAAAAUAAUUUUUAUAUUGCUCACAUGUUGAUAUGGUAAUAUUUUGGAUAUCUUGGGUUAAAUAAAAUAUAUUAUUAAAAUUAAUUUAUAUUUGUUUUUAUUAAGUGGCUACUAGAAAGUUUAAACCUUUUAAUCCCAGCACUUGGGAGGCAGAGGCAGGUGGAUUUUUGAGUUCGAGGCCAGCCUGGUCUACAGAGUGAGUUCCAGGACAGCCAAGGCUACACAGAGAAACCCUGUCUCGAAAAAAACAAACAAAAAGUUUAAACUUCGGGCCAUCAGAAUGGCUUAGCAAGUGAAAAUGCUUGCCAUCACACCUGAUGACCUGAGUUCAAGCCCCAGAGCCCACAUGUUGAAAGGAGAGACUCUGCCCCUCACUUUGUUCUCUGGCUUUCAUACAGGUGCUGUGGCACGUGCCAAACAUCCGUACAAAGAGGAAUAUGGUUUUGGUUUUGGUUUUUGCAGGGGUAGAAGGGUAUGAAUACAUUUUUAACACAAUAAAGUUUUAAUAAUAAAAUUGAAAUUGCACUGGCUGCUGUGUUUUAGAUGUACUCCUGCUGAGUCUGAGUCCAGGGCGCUCUGAACUCCCUGUUGUCAUCACAGCUUUCAAGACUGCCCUCUCUAUGCGGCAUCCUCCUCUCCUUUUUCCCUGUAACCAAAUCCAGGUGUCUGGAUUGGCUGUUGGUAUGUCUCUUCCUAGGUAGGUGUGGCACACGCCUAUACUCCCAGCCCUCUGGAAGGCUGAGGCAGGAAGACCACAAUUUUGAGACCAGCCUGGGCUACAUGAGAUCCUGUCUCACAACAAGUGGUCUCAUCCAGAGAUUUCUCCCGUGGUCCUCUCAAGGAAGCUUCCAGGAGCUUUGUGGGGUUUCCACAGCUCUACACUCAGUAGGGGAAGCUCGAGAACACGAUUCUAAGAAGCCUCUGAUCACGUUGCUG
rnacentral:lncRNA from 1 species